AAGCCAGAGGUUCAUAGCAUACCACUCACCUCAACUGACAACAAUAAGGACAAGGAAAACUUCAGCUCAGAUGUGGACACCUACGAAGCACUGGCAAGGGAAUGGAAUAUUCAGCCUUUCAGAGCAUCUCAGUAGAAUACCAUCUUUGAGCUGCAGUGAGUCAAUGAGGAUCUGCUUCUCCACUGGACAACAAAAUGUUUUGCAGGCCAUUCUGAGCACUACGCUUAUGGACGUGGUUAUGCUGUUCCCAGACACUGACCUGACUGGAGCAGCGGGAGCUGAACACGCCUGCAAGUCUCUAGCUGCCUUCUGGCCACAGUGUGGGUGUCUGGGAAGGCUGCAGCUGCAGCAGAAGUGGAAGCACAUGGGAAAAUGACUCACCUCCCAGGGGCUAGACAUGGAUUUUCAACCCAGCAGAGCACAGGAAAUAUGACAUGAAGGUGGAGCGUUGUGCUACUCGAGGAACAAAAUGUCAUGGCAAAUAACUGCUUCGAGUCUGGCCUAUUCUUUAACAGACUUGUAGGCUGUGAAGGAGAACAAAGAAGAAAAGUGCCCUUUUCUUCCUUACCUGCCUUCUGUUUUCCCUCUCCUUGGGUGGGACACAUUUCAAUAUCUUAUCAGGUCUGCUGUUCUGAGAUCAGAUUGCAUUCCUUCAAGCCUGUGAGACAGCCAGCUGAUCAAG
ensembl:lncRNA